rnacentral:misc_RNA from 1 species
GUGAGUCAUCGAAUCUUUGAACGCAUAUUGCGCCCUUUGGUAUUCCGAAGGGCAUGCCUGUCCGAGCGUCAUUAUCAACCAUCAAGCCCGGCUUGUUGUUGGAUCAUUGCUGCUGCCGGUGCGGCGGAGGCAGGUCUUCAAGGAAGUGGCGGAGUUGACGGACGCCAGAUACAACGAGCUCUCGCAGCAUGUAUCGAGGCGGGCCGGCGACCCGGCCUUGGGUUUAACUCUCGUAGGUUGACCUCGGAUCAGGUAGGAGUACCCGCUGAACUUAAGCAUAUCAAUAAGCGGAGGA